GGCUUUUCGCAGUAACUAUAUGAACUGCUCUCAUCCAGGUCUAUCCUAGUCGCUAUAUUACAUCUUUUGCAUGUAAACUAGCUGGUAAGCUUAUAACGUUGUGUAAUUUUAUCAAUUAUCUGUGUCAAUCACCUAAUUCUUCAACAUGGAUAAGGUUAGCAUUUUAGUUGGUUGAUGUAUGUAUUGAUAUGAUUUAGAGGUUAUAUUAGCUAGAUGUUGAUGAAGUAGUACGUCAUUGUUCAUGGACCAAUCUCUUAGUGCAUCAGCAUGUAUGUGUUAUCUUGUUAUACAUCACUGUCACUAGCUUGUUUGGAAAACUAAAUAUAAUUGAUUCAAUUUACAUAAUUGUAUUUUUGAGCUCAAUAAUAUCUUGGCUAAAAUAAUUUUGUUAAACUUCUCUAAAUACUUCUGAUUUUUUAUUAUUGUAUUUAAAGAGUUCAAUAUUACUGGAACAUGAGGUGUAGCAGUGAUAUAAGAUAAUUUGAUUUGGUAGUGAUCAACAUUCAGGUAUCAGUUGGCAUGCAAAAAACAAAGACAAUUAGCAGUCAGCUUUGUUUCACUUGAAGUCUGGAAUUGAUAUUUCCCUGCUAACCAAAAAAAAGUUUGAGCAAAACACUUGGUAUAUAUGUGAUAUAGUAUAUAGUUAAAUUAUUUUAUAUACAAGUAAUAAUUAAACAAAUAGAAGACCUAUAUGAAACAGCAUGAUUGCUAAUGUGAUCACAAACAAUGAUGGUCAUGAUAUUAAGGAACAUAUCAAAGUGAAGUGAUGAAUUUGUAUUGGCAGUGCUGAAUUGGGGGUUGAUGUUGGGACUCGAUACAAUCUUGCAUGUGAUACUGUACGUGUUUGUUAAUUUCAUGUGGUGGAAUGGACUUUGGGUGACUAGCAGGGCAUCUGUGAUUGGAUAUGUUUGACGAUGAGAGAGAGCACGCUUGUCAGCAUCUAUGAAACAGUCAUGCGUGUUUACGUGCGUGCUCCCUCUUCUCAUCAUACAAUCGAGCUAAUCUUGUGCACCUUUCUCUUACAAGCUAGCUGGUGAUUAUAACAGUGGACAAGUUAGUAUUUGUAAAUGUCAAUCUCAAUGUUUCUUUCAUAAAGGCUCAUAAUUUGCCUUUUGGUGGUCAUUCUUUUUAUGAUAUAAAGUUUAAAUGUUGAAGAAGUAGAGAAUAGUCAUUUGAAAAUCAAAAGUUUCAUAAUGGUUUUACUUAUUCAUGUUUGACGAACAAAAACAUAUGACUGGCAAUGGUAAGGUUUGGUGGAUAGUAAAUUGAUGAACAGAAACUUAUCUGUGACUAUAAGCAUGCAAGAUAUUCAAUUUUUCUUUUUUUUUGAAGUCUUGGUUGAUUUGAAGUCUGCAAUCUUUUGACUACAAAAGAAUAAACAUCAAUCAGAGUACAUGGUUGUUCAAACUUCAAACAGGUAUGGUGGUCAAAGCUUAUGGUAAUUAUAAGCUUAUUGGAUACACCUCCAGCCCCCUCCCAGGAAUCCACGAAUGCUACAAGGAAGGAAGAAGUUCUACCUGGCUCUACUUGGCUACUAAGCUUAUGUGUUCAUGGGAUCUACAUUAUCUGAAGAAAUGUUCCCCAGAGAUAUUCUUAUUAGCAGUUGCUGUUACAACUUACAAGGUUGUGGAUGCUGUCUCCUUGUUUGGUUUGGUGAAUAGUCCAUUAUGUUUCUCACACCUUUAA